GUCUACGGCCAUACCACUCUGAAUAUACCCAAUCUUGUCUGAUUUCAGAAGCUAAGCAGGGUCGGGUCUGGUUAGUACUUGGAUGGGAGAAAUAAGCCCCCAAUACAGAUU
rnacentral:rRNA from 1 species